UAUGGCCAUAUCAUGUUGAAACACCAGUUCCUGUAUGAUCACCAAAAUUAAGCAAAAUCAAGCCUGGUCAGUACCUCGAUGGGUGACCACUUGGGAAUACCAGGUGCUGUAUG